rnacentral:tRNA from 1 species
AUUUAAAUAGCUUAUAGAGAGCAUGAUAUUGAAGAUAUCAAGGAAAUAAUUAUAUUUUUAAAUA